CCUAGGAAUCUGCCUGGUAGUGGGGGAUAACGUUCGGAAACGAACGCUAAUACCGCAUACGUCCUACGGGGGAAAGCAGGGGACCUUCGGGCCUUGCGCUAUCAGAUGANCCUAGGUCGGAUUAGCUAGUUGGUGAGGUAAUGGCUCACCAAGGCGACGAUCCGUAACUGGUCUGAGAGGAUGAUCAGUCACACUGGAACUGAGACACGGUCCAGACUCCUACGGGAGGCAGCAGUGGGGAAUAUUGGACAAUGGGCGAAAGCCUGAUCCAGCCAUGCCGCGUGUGUGAAGAAGGUCUUCGGAUUGUAAAGCACUUUAAGUUGGGAGGAAGGGCCAUUACCUAAUACGUGAUGGUUUUGACNUUUCCUNACAGAAUAA
rnacentral:rRNA from 1 species